rnacentral:rRNA from 1 species
GACAGCAGCCGCCACGGGAACACGUAGGUGGCAAGCGUUGUCCGGAAUUAUUGGGCGUAAAGCGCGCGCAGGCGGAUCAGUCAGUCUGUCUUAAAAGUUCGGGGCUUAACCCCGUGAUGGGAUGGAAACUGCUGAUCUAGAGUAUCGGAGAGGAAAGUGGAAUUCCUAGUGUAGCGGUGAAAUGCGUAGAUAUUAGGAAGAACACCAGUGGCGAAGGCGACUUUCUGGGCGAAAACUGACGCUGAGGCGCGAAAGCCAGGGGAGCGAACGGGAUUAGAUACCCCGGUAGUCCCUGUCUCUUAUACA